GACGAACGCUGGCGGCGUGCUUAAUACAUGCAAGUCGAACGGAAAGGCCCUGCUUUUGUGGGGUGCUCGCGUGGCGAACGGGUGUGUAACACGUGAGUAACCUGCCCUUGACUUUGGGAUAACUCCAGGAAACUGGGGCUAAUACCGGAUAGGAGCUCCUGCUUCAUGUUGGGGGUUGGAAAGUUUCGGUGGUUGGGGAUGGACUCGCGGCUUAUCAGCGUGUUGGUUGGGUGGUGGCUUACCAAGGCUGUGACGGGUAGCCGGCCUGGCAGGGUGGCCGGGCACAAUGGGACUGAGAUACGGCCCAGACUCCGACGGGAGGCAGCAGUGGGGAAUAUUACAGAAGGGGGGGAAGCCUGAGGCGGAGACGCCGCGGGCGGGAUGACGGCCUUCGAGUUGUAAACCGCUUUCGCAUGUGACGAAGAGUGAGUGACGGUAAUGAGUAAAGAAGCACCGGCUAACUACGUG
rnacentral:rRNA from 1 species